rnacentral:rRNA from 1 species
GACGGAGGAUGCAAGCGUUAUCCGGAAUGAUUGGGCUUAAAGCGCCCGCAGGCGGCAGUUCAAGUCUGCUGUCAAAGACCGGGGCUUAACUUCGGAAAGGCAGUGGAAACUGAACAGCUAGAGUAUGGUAGGGGCAGAGGGAAUUCCUGAUGUAGCGGUGAAAUGCGUAGAGAUCGGGAAGAACAUCGGUGGCGAAAGCGCUCUACUGGACCGCAACUGACACUCAGGGACGAAAGCUAGGGGAGCGAAUGGG